rnacentral:tRNA from 1 species
GGAGGAGUGGCAGAGCGGUUGAAUGCAACGGUCUUGAAAACCGUCGAAGGGGAAACUCUUCCGUGAGUUCGAAUCUCCCCUCCCCCGCCA